CUGAUUACCUGUAUACGAGGUGCCAUGAGCAAAUGUCUCUCGCAGGAAUUUAACAGAAUUUUUCCUUCAGCUAAUGCUUAUGUUACAAACUACUUUUAUUUUUGCCAGAACAAUGAAUAUUUUCACUUGAAAUGUGCGAUAAAAAUUAGUCUAGCAAGCUUGGGAUGUAUUUUUGAAAAUGUUAACAUGAUAAACGUACCCACCCCCGACGAUGGGUUCAAUAAAUGGAAAGACUACACAUGCAGAUCUAUAGAUAUUGGCAAUGAGUGUUUUGUCGAGAAAAACUCAUCCGAAUCCUGUCGGAGUACAUUUUUAAUGAUGACGGAUAUGUAUCAAGUAUUGAUACCACCGGUUAAUGAUACUCAGGAUAACCCUAAUGUUAAUUUUACCACCGAUAACCAUGAAAUGUAAUCUAUUGUAUAUU